rnacentral:rRNA from 1 species
GAGAGUCUUCGGACUCGAGCGGCGAACGGGUGAGUAACACGUAGGAAAUCUGCCGUAAAGACUGGGAUACCAGACCGAAAGGUUUGCUAAUACCGGAUAUGAAUUCGAGAGGCAUCUCUUGAAUUUGAAAGCUGCGUUUGCAGCACUAUACGAUGAUCCUGCGGCGCAUUAGUUAGUUGGUGAGAUAACAGCCCACCAAGACGAGGAUGCGUAGCCGACCUGAGAGGGUGAUCGGCCACAAUGGAACUGAGACACGGUCCAUACUCCUACGGGAGGCAGCAGUAAGGAGUUUUCGGCAAUGGGGGAAACCCUGACCGAGCAAUACCGCGUGAGUGAUGAAGGUCUUCGGAUCGUAAAACUCUGUUGUAAGGGAAGAAUGAUAAGAAUAGGAAAUGAUUUUUAUUUGACCGUACCUUACGAGGAAGCCACGGCUAACUACGUGCCAGCAGCCGCGGUAAUACGUAGGUGGCAAGCGUUAUCCGGAAUUAUUGGGCGUAAAGAGUGAGCAGGCGGCCGUUUAAGUCUGAAGUCAAAUGCAGUAGCUCAACUACUGUUCGCUUUGGAAACUGGAUGGCUAGAGUUCGGGAGAGGUAAAUGGAACUUCAUGUGUAGCGGUGAAAUGCGUAGAUAUAUGAAAGAACACCAGUGGCGAAGGCGAUUUACUAGACCGAUACUGACGCUCAGUCACGAAAGCGUGGGUAGCAAAUAGGAUUAGAUACCCUAGUAGUCCACGCCGUAAACGAUGAGUACUAAGUGUUGGGGGUU